rnacentral:rRNA from 1 species
UGAGGAAUAUUGGGCAAUGCCCGCAAGGGUGACCCAGCAACGCCGCGUGGAGGAUGAAUGUCGUAAGAUUGUAAACUCCUGUUAGAGGGGAAGAAUAGUACCGGUUGGACCGGUAUAUGACUGUACCCUCAGAGAAAGCCCCGGCUAACUACGUGCCAGCAGCCGCGGUAAUACGUAGGGGGCAAGCGUUGUCCGGAUUUACUGGGUGUAAAGGGCGCGCAGGCGGGAUAAAAAGUCAGUGGUGAAAUCCUACAGCUUAACUGUAGAACUGCCUUCGAUACUUUUAUUCUUGAGUUCGGGAGAGAGAGACGGAAUUCCAGGUGUAGUGGUGAAAUACGUAGAUAUCCGGAAGAACACCAGUUGCGAAGGCGGUCUCUUGGUCCGACACUGACGCUGAGGCGCGAAAGCGUGGGGAGCAAACA